GGCCUGGUGGUGUAGCGGCAACACGUCCUCUGAUCAUUCCAGUAUUCCUCCCUAGUUCUGAGGAAACCCCUUGUUCGAAGCAAGGCCAGGCCA